UACGUAGGGUGCAAGCGUUGUCCGGAAUUAUUGGGCGUAAAGAGCUCGCAGGUGGCCUGUCGCGUCGGCUGUGAAAACUCGGGGCUCAACUCCGAGCUUGCAGUCGAUACGGGCAGGCUAGAGUUCGGCAGGGGAGACUGGAAUUCCUGGUGUAGCGGUGAAAUGCGCAAAUAUCAGGAGGAACACCGGUGGCGAAGGCGGGUCUCUGGGCCGAUACUGACACUGAGGAGCGAAAGCGUGGGGAGCGAACAGG
rnacentral:rRNA from 1 species